rnacentral:rRNA from 1 species
CCCUUAGAUGUCCUGGGCCGCACGCGCGCUACACUGACAUGUUCAACAAGCCUCCUAGUUCGACAGGAUUUGGGAAAUCUUUGAACGCAUGUCGUGAUAGGGAUAGAUCAUUGCAGUUAUUGAUCUUGAACGAGGAAUUCCUAGUAAACGCGAGUCAUCAGCUCGCAUUGAUUACGUCCCUGCCCUUUGUACACACCGCCCGUCGCACCUACCGAUUGAAUGUUUCGGUGAAGAUUCCGGAUAGGACUUUUUUGAUUUAUUUCAAUUCUGUCUUAAAAGCUAUCUAAACCUCAACAUUUAGAGGAAGGUGAAGUCGUAACA